CAGAGAGUAGCUUGCUACUUUGCUGACGAGCGGCGGACGGGUGAGUAAUGCUUGGGAACAUGCCUUGAGGUGGGGGACAACAGUUGGAAACGACUGCUAAUACCGCAUAAUGUCUACUGACCAAAGGGGGCUUCGGCUCUCGCCUUUAGAUUGGCCCAAGUGGGAUUAGCUAGUUGGUGAGGUAAUGGCUCACCAAGGCGACGAUCCCUAGCUGGUUUGAGAGGAUGAUCAGCCACACUGGGACUGAGACACGGCCCAGACUCCUACGGGAGGCAGCAGUGGGGAAUAUUGCACAAUGGGCGCAAGCCUGAUGCAGCCAUGCCGCGUGUGUGAAGAAGGCCUUCGGGUUGUAAAGCACUUUCAGUCAGGAGGAAAGGUUAGUAGUUAAUACCUGCUAGCUGUGACGUUACUGACAGAAGAAGCACCGGCUAACUCCGUGCCAGCAGCCGCGGUAAUACGGAGGGUGCGAGCGUUAAUCGGAAUUACUGGGCGUAAAGCGUACGCAGGCGGUUUGU
rnacentral:rRNA from 1 species